UGUUAAAAAUUUCAUUCAUUUGUACUAUUAAAAACUGACAUGGUUGACUGAAUAACUAGACAAUAACAUAUGAUGCACCAAUUUUUAACAAUAAAAAUAAAUAAAUUUUUAACA
rfam:Gossypium raimondii Chr08_contig_1300, whole genome shotgun sequence.